rnacentral:sRNA from 1 species
GGGAGAGAGAGAGGAGAGGGAAAGAGAGAGGAGAGAGGAGAGGGAGAGAGAGAGGGAGAGAGAUGCUUUCUGUGAGCUUGAAGCAGUUUCCCUUCAAAGCCUGUUGCUAGCAUCCAUCUGCUUGUGUGUUGCUCCUUGGUGCUAGGUGUGUGCAGUGUACUUAGUCACUCCAGUCAUCGUCCAAGUCUUGCCUUGCAUGCUUCCCUCGUGAAGGAGGUAAUCUGCUUGCUCUCUCUCUCUCUCUCUCUCUCUCUCUCUCUCUCUCUCUCUCUCUCUCUCCU